AGUUACCACAGGGAUAACUG
rnacentral:ncRNA from 2 species